rnacentral:rRNA from 1 species
AAAUUGAAGAGUUUGAUCAUGGCUCAGAUUGAACGCUGGCGGCAGGCCUAACACAUGCAAGUCGAACGGUAACAGGAAGCAGCUUGCUGCUUCGCUGACGAGUGGCGGACGGGUGAGUAAUGUCUGGGAAACUGCCUGAUGGAGGGGGAUAACUACUGGAAACGGUGGCUAAUACCGCAUAAUGUCGCAAGACCAAAGAGGGGGACCUUCGGGCCUCUUGCCAUCAGAUGUGCCCAGAUGGGAUUAGCUUGUUGGUGAGGUAACGGCUCACCAAGGCGACGAUCCCUAGCUGGUCUGAGAGGAUGACCAGCCACACUGGAACUGAGACACGGUCCAGACUCCUACGGGAGGCAGCAGUGGGGAAUAUUGCACAAUGGGCGCAAGCCUGAUGCAGCCAUGCCGCGUGUAUGAAGAAGGCCUUCGGGUUGUAAAGUACUUUCAGCGGGGAGGAAGGUGUUGUGGUUAAUAACCGCAGCAAUUGACGUUACCCGCAG